rnacentral:tRNA from 1 species
GGGCCCGUGGUCUAGAGGUUAUGACGUCGCCUUGACGGGGCGAAGCCGCAAAAAGGCGAAGUUCGAGGGUUCGAAUCCCUCCGGGCCCA